UGCGCCUCACGAUGGUCUGCAGAUGCCCAGGGCAGUGCCGAUAAUGCCACAGGCUCAGAUGAUGCCAAGAG